rnacentral:rRNA from 1 species
CGCCAAAAACUAGCCCCACCACACCUACAAAAUCACAACGCACUUAAACAAAACAUUUGAUAAUUCUAGUACUUGCGACUGAACAAAAACACGGGCGCAAUAGCGACAAAUACCGCAAGGGAAUGUUGAAAGAUUAAUGAAACAAACAGCAAUAAAACAGCAAAGAUUAACCCUUGUACCUCUUGCAUCAUGGUUUAGCAAGAAACUGCAGACAAAGAGCCCUUAAGCCUGCCACCCCGAAAUCAAGCGAGCUAUCUAAGAGCAACCGAUCAGGGUGAACCCGUCUCUGUAGCAAAAGAGUGGGAAGACUCCUAGAUAGAGGUAAAAAGCCUAACGAGCUUGAUCAUAGCUGGUUGCCCGAUAAAUGAACCUAAGUUCAACCUUAGGCUACCAAACGCCAACUUCAUAGCAACUCCUCCAAGCCUAAGAGAUAUUCAACGGGGGUACAGCCCCAUUGAAACAGAAUACAACCUGUUAUAGAGAGUAAACUUAAACCCUCAAACCAGUGGGCCUUAAAGCAGCCACCUGUAAUAAAAGCGUCACAGCACACAACUCAAAAAUCCCGAAAACACCAAGCUUCUCCUAUAAUUAACCCGGGCCAUCCUAUUAAACAAUAGAAGAACUACUGCUAAAACUAGUAACAAGACCCAGUCUCUUAAGCAGACCUUUAACUCAGUAAUAGAAAAACUACUGACAAUUAACAACCGAAUUGGAAGCCCACAACCACAUCCACCAAACCACUGUUACUCCAACACAGGGCUGCCUACAAGAAAGAUUAAAAACUGUAAAAGGAAUUCAGCUAACCUAGCCCCAACUGUUUACCAAAAACAUAGCCUUUAGCCUUACAAGUAUUAAAGGUCCCGCCUGCCCAGUGACAUGAUUCAACGGCCGCGGUAUUCUAACCGUGCAAAGGUAGCGUAAUCACUUGUCUCCUAAAUAGAGACCAGUAUGAACGGCUAAAUGAGGGCUAACCUGUCUCUUACACUCAAUCAGUGAAACUGAUCUCCCAGUACAAAAGCUGGGAUAUGCACAUAAGACGAGAAGACCCUGUGGAGCUUUAAAUAUCCAUCACACGCCAGUAAAUGAUGCUAAUUUAAGUUGGGGCGACUUCGGGAAAAAACUAAACUCCCGAGCAAAUGGCCAUCAACCAUACAAAGGCCUACAAGCCAAAGUAUUUAUAAUUCAACUGACCCAGUCAAACUGAGCAACGAACCAAGUUACCCCAGGGAUAACAGCGCCAUCUUCUUCAAGAGUCCCUAUCGCCAAGAAGGUUUACGACCUCGAUGUUGGAUCAGGACAUCCUAAUGGUGCAGCCGCUAUUAAGGGUUCGUUUGUUCAACGAUUAACAGUCCUACGUGAUCUGAGUUCAGACCGGAGCAAUCCAGGUCAGUUUCUAUCUAUGACACCUCUUCUUCAGUACGAAAGGACCGAGAAGACAGGACCUCUGCCACAAACACGUCCUCACAACUCAACUGAAUAAAACUCAAAUUGACACAGCACCAAAUAACCGUCAAAGAUAAUGACUA